rnacentral:misc_RNA from 1 species
UCCUGGUUUCCCAGGCAGUCCCGUCAGAGUGCCCCUAAAAGGGUUGCAACUGACAGCAAGGGUUGCGCUCGUUAAAGGACUUAACCCAACAUCUCACGACACGAGCUGACGACAGCCAUGCAGCACCUGUGCACCUGUCCAAGCUUUCGCUUGAAAGACCGUAUUUCUACGGCUGUCACGUGCAUGUCAAGCCCAGGUAAGGUUCCUCGCGUAGUAUCGAAUUAAACCACAUGUUCCACCGCUUGUGCGGACCCCCGUCAAUUCCUUUGAGUUUUAAUCUUGCGACCGUACUCCCCAGGCGGGUCACUUAUCGCGUUAGCUACGACACUGAUUCUGCAGAGCAGAACCAACGUCCAGUGACCAUCGUUUACAGCGUGGACUAC